CCGGCCUCCCCCUCCCCCCCGAGCGGGGCAACCCCCGCCCUCCUGGCUCUCGACCCCGGCUGAUGUAAGACAGACUGGAGUGUCACCGCUGCCACCGUGACAGGCCUGCCGCCUCCCCCUGAGCAAAGCCCACACCAAUGCAACCCACUGUGGGACCCCAGCCUUACCAUCUGAGUCCUUCUGAUUGGGAUUGGGCACCAGGCGACAGUUAUCAGGACCAGGAGGCACAUAAUCUGGGACACCAUCAUUGUCAUCAUCCCCAUCACAUUCAUCUCCCAGACCGUCAUUGUCUGAGUCCAGCUGGGAGCUAUUGGGCAGCUGUGGGCAGUUGUCCUUGGUGUCCUGAUGCCCAUCCCCAUCACUGCCCAGAAGAGAAGGCACCCAAUAAAGGCUCUCACAGUA